GGCUGCUGAGGGUCAGCUCGUGGAACUGUGGUUUUAGAGGGGCCCGGGUCUUAGAGCGACCUGAGGAUGAGAAAACACUUCAAGGUAGACUCUGGCGCGUAGUCUGGCCGGGUCCCUUUUGUGGAGACAUCCGUGGAAAGUAUGUACAAAAUCAAUUAAAAGCUGAAAUGCAUUUUCUUAUAAAUGUGUGAAAUUAUGUGUGUUGGUUUAUCAACUGCUUUUACGUGUUUGAAACAAUUAGUAAAUAAUCAAAGUGAUCAAAGAACAGAACCAAACACUUGAUAAAGACAACUGACACACAGGGGUAACUAUAACUUAGGGCAAACACUCAAAGAAAGACAUUGAAGCACAGUAAACCAUAAACACCUAUAAAUUAAUCUAAACAAUUCUAUUCAAAUCAAAACAAAACAGGACCAAAACCUAACUCCCCUUAAUGGAUGUGGACAGUGGUUCCCUCCAAUAAACCGCUUACUGUAUAAAAUAGCCCAGAAACCACCCACCACCAGCCUCAAACCGUAACUAACGGUUUAAAGGGAAGUAUAAUAAUUACACGUAAGUGUUAGGUCACAGUACAAAAGAACUAAAUGUGCUACAUGCUACAAACAGAACCAAUGAUGUGUCAACUAGGAAAUGAACAAAAUAUGUUUACUGAAAAUAAACCAAAUAACCAAACAAGGUGUUUGUGAACUGUGUGGCAAAAGAGCUUGAAUGUCAAGGCCCGCCGUGAGCAGACAGAAGUGAGGGACCCAAACGCACAGCUCAGAAAACAGGAUUUAGCAGAAACCAGGUUUAUUCAUCAUUAUCCAGACGGCAGGCAAAAAUGGGAGUUGGGCAGGCAAUUGUCAAAAACCAGUCAUCACACUAUCCAGCAGAGGUACAGGCAGAGACAAGGCAAAACACAGUCACAACAGGCAAGAGUCAAAAACCAGAGACUUACUUGGACAGGGAAUAGUAGGCUGACAAACUGAGUGCGCCACAACAACUGCCUGACAGAGAACAAAGGGACGGUGCUUAAAGGUGCCUGCACAUGCAAAAUUCACUUUCUGGACAUUCUGGUACGUUUAUUUGACUCCCUGGGUCACAUUAAGACACUCCUGGUGUGUUAGGUACGCCCCCUACUUCUUUCACAUUUUUGAGAGUUUAUCCAAUCCGCGUCUGCAUUCGCUUGACCAAUUACAGAACCAGCUUCGCCCCCCCCCAGACAAACCUGGACCCCUAAAUGUACCUGAAACAUUUUGUUUCAGUCACUCCAGUCACAGACAAAAGAAGAAGAAGUCACUCGCUGCGCAGUCUACCAUAGGAGGUGGCUCUAAUGCACCUUUCAGUUGGUUGCCACCCGCCAUUUAAAAGGCAAAAGAAGAAGAAGUCACUCAGGUUGAAGAAGCGCCCACUUGCUGCUUCCCCAAACGCUGACGCAUGCCAGCUACCGAAACGCGAGGAGGUUGCUUCUCAAACUGACACGCGGCUACCUUGUAGAAGAGUAGAAGAGUGCUCACCUCAGGAGCAAAGAGUGGUGUCAAGGAAAACAGCUGCAUCCUCCAUCUGUACAGCAGCUGCACUGCUUCCGAUGUCUUCCAACACCUGAAGACAAAAAAGAUCCUCACAUCUCCCCAGCCAACUGCCCAUGACUGUACCUGUUCCACUCCAGAAACUAUGCUUUCAGCAUAGCUAUGAAUCCUACCCAUUCAUUUUGUGGUCUGCAAAUUGAACUGUGACGGUAACUUAUCCAGCAUUAUAGUGCUGGUGCAUUGGUUAAAAAUAAAGUUGGCUUUGACUAUU